UUGACCAUUUUCUUUCUUAAAUGAAGGUCGUUGGCAAUCUAGUGAUCCUCCAUCAAUCUACAUAUUCCUUAACUGCAGUACUCGUGAACUUGCAUAUAUAGAGAAGUAUGUGGAAAAAAUUGCUACAUCAACCCCAACACUUUUAUUUAAUCUUGAACUAGAUACACUACUUUCUUGUUGGAUUAAAGCGGGUUUUUGACACCAGGACCUCCAACCCAAGUUCACUUUCCCUUUUAGGGAAAUUUUGGAGAUAUAUUUUGGAGCAUUGGGAAGG